rnacentral:snRNA from 1 species
UCUGCUUUGGCAGCACACACUAAACUGGAAUGAUACGGAGAUAAGCAUUCCCCCUGAGCAAUAGUGACAAAGACAUUUGUGAUCUGUUCCAGGUAAAA